rnacentral:rRNA from 1 species
UACAGAGGUCCCAAGCGUUGUUCGGAUUCACUGGGCGUAAAGGGCGCGUAGGCGGCCUGUUAAGUCGAACGUGAAAUCCCCGGGCUCAACCCGGGAACUGCGUCCGAUACUGGCAGGCUUGAAUCCGGGAGAGGGAUGCGGAAUUCCAGGUGUAGCGGUGAAAUGCGUAGAUAUCUGGAGGAACACCGGUGGCGAAGGCGGCAUCCUGGACCGGCAUUGACGCUGAGGCGCGAAAGCCAGGGGAGCAAACGGG